rnacentral:rRNA from 1 species
GACGAACGCUGGCGGCGUGCUUAACACAUGCAAGUCGAACGAUGAACCACUUCGGUGGGGAUUAGUGGCGAACGGGUGAGUAACACGUGGGCAAUCUGCCCUUCACUCUGGGACAAGCCCUGGAAACGGGGUCUAAUACCGGAUACGACACUCUCGGGCAUCCGAUGAGUGUGGAAAGCUCCGGCGGUGAAGGAUGAGCC